rnacentral:rRNA from 1 species
GAAAUCAUUAAAUUUAAAUAAUUUGGCGGUAUAUUAAUUAGUUAGAGGAACUUGUAUGGUGAUUGAUGGUCCACGAUAGGAGGUACUUAAAUAUAUUUUAUGUAUUGUUGUUUUUAGGUUAAUUUGUAAGGAAAUAAUUAAAAAAUUUAGAUGAAUUUAAAUUCAAAUCAAAAUGUAGAUUAUUUAAGGGUAAAUGAGUUACAAUAUUAUAGAUUUGAAUUAAUAAUUUUAAUAUUAUUAUGAGAGGGAUUUAAUAGUAAAUUUAUAAAAUUUUAUAGGUUGAAAUAUAUUUGAAAUAUG